CAUCCCACCCCCACGGACCAGCAUCCCACCCCUACGGACCAGCAUACCAUCUCCACGGACCAGCAUCCCACCCCCACGGACCAGCAUCCCACCCCCACGGACCAGCAUCCCACCCCCACGGACCAGCAUCCCACCCCCACGGACCAUCAUCCCACCCCAAUGGACCAUCAUUCCACCCCCACGGACCAGUAUCCCACCCCCACGGACCAUCAUCCCACCUCCACGGACCAGUAUCCCAUCUCCACGGACCAGCAUCCCACCCCCACGGACCAUCAUCCCACCCCCACGGACCAGCAUCCCAUCUCCAUGGACCAGCAUCCCAUCUCCAUGGACCAGCAUCCCACCUCUAUGGAUCAGCAUCCCUCCUCCAUGUUCAAGUUAACCAGGAGAAUCAGAAGAAUGGCUUCAUCUAUUACACCGUGAUGGAUCAGGAUGAGGUCUGGAGACGACAAGACCCAAGAAAAUAACAAUAGGACGUGAGGUGAGGCGUUGCCCGGGGCCUCAGACCCAGGGG
rnacentral:lncRNA from 1 species